GAUGGUCAGUUGUUGAGCUUCGAACGGGCAGAAAGCUAUAUAACAAGAUCAGGGUGGCGAUGGUCAGUUGUUGAGCUUCGAAUGGGCAGAAAGGCCGUUGCUGUCCGCCGUUUCCGGAUGUUGGGUCAUGUUCUGAGGAUGCCCUCAGAUGCCCCGCCACAGCAGGCAAUGGACAACUACUUCCGUCGAGAUGUCACCGGUGUGCGUGGACGCCCGAAAUCGAACCUGGCCACGGCAGUCAAGGCAAGCACAGCUGCCAGAGACAUGCCACUGAAGACCAUGACUGAUCUGAGUGGGCUCAGAAUGCGCGCUUUGGACAAGCAAUCAUGGAGGGAACUCUCAGCCUGAGCUGGUUUUGCUCGCGGCUGCAACGCACGGGGUAGUGAACCCAGGACAGAAGCGGACCAGGCAUCAUGACUUUGCACAUCUAUCGUUAUGCUGCUUCAUUACGCGACCUGUUUUAUUAUUAUUAUUAU